rnacentral:rRNA from 1 species
CCUACGGGAGGCAGCAGUGGGGAAUAUUGGACAAUGGGGGGAACCCUGAUCCAGCCAUGCCGCGUGUGUGAAGAAGGCCCUCUGGUUGUAAAGCACUUUCAGUGAGGAAGAACGCCUGGUGGUUAAUACCCAUCAGGAAAGACAUCACUCACAGAAGAAGCACCGGCUAACUCCGUGCCAGCAGCCGCGGUAAUACGGAGGGUGCGAGCGUUAAUCGGAAUUACUGGGCGUAAAGCGCGCGUAGGUGGCUUGAUAAGCCGGUUGUGAAAGCCCCGGGCUCAACCUGGGAACGGCAUCCGGAACUGUCAAGCUAGAGUGCAGGAGAGGAAGGUAGAAUUCCCGGAGUAGCGGUGAAAUGCGUAGAGAUCGGGAGGAAUACCAGUGGCGAAGGCGGCCUUCUGGACUGACACUGACACUGAGGUGCGAAAGCGUGGGUAGCAAACAGGAUUAGAUACCCUAGUAGUC